GAUGAACGCUGGCGAGAUGCCUUACACAUGGCAAGUCGUACGGGGGGAUUUUUAAUUCAAGUGGCGGACGGGGUGAGUAACACGUAAGAAUUUGCCUUUAGGGAGGGGGACAACAACUGGAAACGGUUGCUAAUACCCCCAUAUGCUUUCGAGUGAAAUGGAUUUUUCCGCCUAAAGAGAAGCUUGCGGCUGAUUAGCUUGUUGGUGAGGUAAUGGCUCACCAAGGCGACGAUCAGUAUCUGGUUUGAGAGGAUGAUCAGACACACUGGAACUGAGACACGGUCCAGACUCCUACGGGAGGCAGCAGUGGGGAAUUUUCCGCAAUGGGCGAAAGCCUGACGGAGC
rnacentral:rRNA from 1 species